rnacentral:rRNA from 1 species
AUUGAACGCUGGCGGCAGGCUUAACACAUGCAAGUCGAGCGGAGUGAUGGUGCUUGCACUAUCACUUAGCGGCGGACGGGUGAGUAAUGCUUAGGAAUCUGCCUAUUAGUGGGGGACAACAUCUCGAAAGGGAUGCUAAUACCGCAUACGUCCUACGGGAGAAAGCAGGGGAUCACUUGUGACCUUGCGCUAAUAGAUGAGCCUAAGGCGGAUUAGCUAGUUGGUGGGGUAAAGGCCUACCAAGGCGACGAUCCGUAGCGGGUCUGAGAGGAUGAUCAGCCACACUGGGACUGAGACACGGCCCAGACUCCUACGGGAGGCAGCAGUGGGGAACAUUGGACAAUGGGGGGAACCCCGAUCCAGCCAUGCCGCGUGGGCGAAGAAGGCCUUAUGGUUGUAAAGCACUUUAAGCGAGGAGGAGGCUCUUUUGGUUAAUACCCAAGAUGAGUGGACGUUACUCGCAGAAUAAGCACCGGCUAACUCUGUGCCAGCAGCCGCCGUAA